rnacentral:rRNA from 1 species
GGGGUAGCAAUACCUGCUGACGACCGGCAAACGGGUGCGGAACACGUACGCAACCUUCCCAAAACUGGUGAAUAGCCCUCCGAAAGGAGGAUUAAUACACCGUAACAUAAUGAAGUGGCAUCACUUUAUUAUUAUAACUCCGGUGGUUUUGGAUGGGCGUGCGACUGAUUAGGUAGUUGGCGGGGUAACGGCCCACCAAGCCUGCGAUCAGUAACUGGUGUGAGAGCACGACCAGUCACACGGGCACUGAGACACGGGCCCGACUCCUACGGGAGGCAGCAGUAAGGAAUAUUGGUCAAUGGACGAAAGUCUGAACCAGCCAUGCCGCGUGAAGGAUGAAGGUCCUCUGGAUUGUAAACUUCUUUUAUAGGGGACGAAAAAAGGGAAUUCUUUCUCACUUGACGGUACCCUAGGAAUAAGCACCGGCUAACUCCGCGCCAGCAGCCGCGGUAAUACGGAGGGUGCAAGCGUUAUCCGGAUUCACUGGGUUUAAAGGGAGCGUAGGUGGGCAGGUGAGUCGGUGGUGAAAUCUCCGGGCUUAACCCGGAAACUGCCAUUGAUACUAUUUGUCUUGAAUUAUCUGGAGGUAAGCGGAAUAUGUCAUGUAGCGGUGAAAUGCUUAGAUAUGACAUAGAACACCGAUUGCGAAGGCAGCUUACUACGGAUAUAUUGACACUGAGGCUCGAAAGCGU